CUGCAAUUUACAGCCACAAAACAGCUGGUGAUAAAGUGAUAAAAUGACAUAAUGGAAGUCCCUUGGUCUUAGGAAAUUCCACCAACUUGAGCAUCCUAGAAUUAGAGAAAAGCACAUUCAAAAGGAAUUCCAGAGUUUUGAGAGACCAUUUUCGGAGAAUAAGUAAUUCUUCACUCAGGAAGAAUUCAGUGGAGCUAUAAGAACCCAGCUGCUGGAACAAAAAAUACUUUAAGCUGGUCCAUGACCUAUGAUGAAGCAGUACUUAUGGCAUCAGUCUAACACAGAAGAAUCACAGUGGAACAACCUACAAGUGAAAGUUACACAAGUAUAUUUGAUUUCUAUAAAGGAGAUCAAGGAAAACAUCAGUACUUAGUAUUCACUCAAGCAAUAUGAAAACAAAAUGCAUAAGAUCUGCCACAUAAAGAACAAUCAGAACUUCUGAGCAACGGAGGUUCAGAAUCCACCUGGCUUUCUACAGGAUUUUCACUGUUUGUAAAGGUAAGCAGUAACUUCAAGACAGACAACUCUUUUUUGUAUAAAUUAAUAUUUUUCUUUUC